UACGGAGGGUGCAAGCGUUAAUCGGAAUUACUGGGCGUAAAGCGUGCGCAGGCGGUUUGUUAAGUCUGCUGUGAAAUCCCCGAGCUCAACUUGGGAAUUGCAGUGGAUACUGGCAAGCUGGAGUACGGUAGAGGAAGGUGGAAUUCCCGGUGUAGCGGUGAAAUGCGCAGAUAUCGGGAAGAACACCCGUGGCGAAGGCGGCACUCUGGGACGGUACUGACGCUGAGACGCGAAAGCGUGGGGAGCGACCAGG
rnacentral:rRNA from 1 species